CAAUAAGCGGAGGAAAAGAAACCAACAGGGAUUGCCCUAGUAACGGCGAGUGAAGCGGCAACAGCUCAAAUUUGAAAUCUGGCGUCUUUGGCGUCCGAGUUGUAAUUUGCAGAGGGCGCUUUGGCAUUGGCAGCGGUCCAAGUUCCUUGGAACAGGACGUCACAGAGGGUGAGAAUCCCGUACGUGGUCGCUAGCCUUUACCGUGUAAAGCCCCUUCGACGAGUCGAGUUGUUUGGGAAYGCAGCUCUAAAUGGGAGGUAAAUUUCUUCUAAAGCUAAAUACUGGCCAGAGACCGAUAGCGCACAAGUAGAGUGAUCGAAAGAUGAAAAGCACUUUGGAAAGAGAGUUAAAAAGCACGUGAAAUUGUUGAAAGGGAAGCGCUUGCAGCCAGACUUGCCUGUAGUUGCUCAUCCGGGUUUUUACCCGGUGCACUCUUCUAUGGGCAGGCCAGCAUCAGUUUGGGCGGUUGGAUAAAGGUCUCUGUCACGUACCUCCUUUCGGGGAGAACUUAUAGGGGAGACGUAAUGCAACCAGCCUGGACUGAGGUCCGCGCAUCUGCUAGGAUGCUGGCGUAAUGGCUGUAAGCGGCCCGUCUUGAAACACGGACCAAGGAGUCUAACAUCUAUGCGAGUGUUUGGGUGUCAAGCCCGAGCGCGUAAUGAAAGUGAACGGAGGUGGGAACCUUUCGGGGUGCACCAUCGACCGAUCCUGAUGUCUUCGGAUGGAUUUUGAGUAARARCAUAGCUGUUGGGACCCCGAAAAGAUGGUGAAACUAUGCUUGAAUAGGGUGAAAGCCAGAGGAAAACUCUGGUGGAGGCUUCGCAGCGGUUCUGAACGUGCAAAUCGAUUCGUCAAAUUUGGGCAUAGGGGCRAAAGACUAAUCRAAUAAUCU
rnacentral:rRNA from 1 species